UCCGAGUUCCGGGUUCGAGUCCCGGGCAACCCA
rnacentral:tRNA from 1 species